rnacentral:tRNA from 1 species
GCUGGAGUAGCUUAAUGGUAAAGCAGUGGUUUUGUAAACCACCGACGUGAGUCCGAUUCUCGCCUCCAGCU